AUUGGAUAACCGUAGUAAUUCUAGAGCUAAUACAUGUAUAAAGUCUUGUAGACUGCAUUUAUUAGAAUGAAAACCAUAGGUUUCGGCCUAUUCGUGAGUAAUAAUAACUAAUCAUAUCGUAUGCUUAUGUAACGAUGUGUCUUUCAAGUUUCUGCCCUAUCAGCUUUCGAUGGUAGUGUAUUGGACUACCAUGGCAGUAACGGGUAACGAAGA
rnacentral:rRNA from 1 species